rnacentral:rRNA from 1 species
CACGGGAGCAAUCCUGGUGGCGAGUGGCGAACGGGUGAGUAAUAUAUCGGAACGUGCCCAGUCGUGGGGGAUAACGUAGCGAAAGCUACGCUAAUACCGCAUACGAUCUAUGGAUUUAUCCGCCUAGAGAGAAGCUCGCGGCUGAUUAGCUUGUUGGUAAGGUAAGAGCUUACCAAGGCGACGAUCAGUAUCUGGUUUGAGAGGACGAUCAGACACACUGGAACUGAGACACGGUCCAGACUCCUACGGGAGGCAGCAGUGGGGAAUUUUCCGCAAUGGGCGAAAGCCUGACGGAGCAAUACCGCGUGAGGGAAGACUGCCUAUGGGUUGUAAACCUCUUUUUUCAGGGAGGAAUAAAAUGACGUGUACCUGAAGAAUAAGCAUCGGCUAACUCCGUG